AGAAAGUGCUAGGCACGUAGGCGUUCAGGAGACAGUCACGGUACUCGUUUCCAGACAGAAGUCAUGAGGAACAAGAGGGAAGGUGCUUUCCCGUGUGCAGCGCUUGGGGAGACUCACACAGACAGAGGAUCUGGCAUGACAGGGAAAGGAGGAAAUGGCUUCUGUUAAUCUCUCCUUCAGCUUCUCCCGCUCUUCCUAUGCACCCUUUCUGUUUCCCUUUCCAAUUCUCACGGUGACUCAAGGAACAACGUGUGAAAUGAAAGACCUCAGGUGCUGUAUUGGCUCUUGACAGCUCUUCAGAAGAAAGCACCUCCUGCCUGUUCUGUUCAGUCCUGGUGCAGGUGGUCCUGGACAACACUUUGAAAAAUGCUGGGGCAGAAACAAGCCAGCAAGCAUAUGGGAUUCAUCUGCUGUGAGUGAUAAUUUAUCUAGUUUCUAAAUAUAGUGUUAUAGGCUGGACUGUGUCCCCUUCGCCUCCCCCCCGCCGCCAUGCAUAUAUUGACGCCCUAACCCCUAGCACCUCAGAAUGUGACUGUAUUUGGAAACAGGGCCUUUAAAGAAGUAAUUAAGUUAAAAUGAGGUCAUUAGGGUGGGCUCUAAUGCAGUAUAACUGGUGUCCUUAUAAGAAGAGAUUAGGACACAGAUGCACACAGAGGGAAGACCAUAUGAACACAGAGGGAGAAGACAGCCACCUGCAAGCCACAGAGAGAGCCCUUCAAAGAAACCAACCCUGCAGACAAUUUGAUCUCAGGUUUCUGGCCUCCAGAAUUAUGAGAAAAUAAAUUUCUGUUGUUUAAGUCA
rnacentral:lncRNA from 1 species